rnacentral:lncRNA from 1 species
GGGGCGUGAGGAAGGGUUCUGCACAAGGUGAAGGUCCAAAACCUUCCGAGAGAAAAAGAAAGAAAAGAGAGAAAAUUGGGCGCAGGGUUUUUGGUGUGUACCCUAGGGUUUCUACCUAGGGUUCGGGAAGUGAGAUUGGUGUGCCAUGAAUGUCGUGAGUCUACUAAAUUUUACGGAGAGAUCCAUCAGCCUCUCAAGCAACUGUACAGAUGAUCUGGAGCAUCCGAGAAGUCAGCACACAUCGAUCGAAGGAGUUCGAUCAAUAUCUGCCAUC